rnacentral:rRNA from 1 species
CCUACGGGAGGCAGCAGUGAGGAAUAUUGGUCAAUGGACGAGAGUCUGAACCAGCCAAGUAGCGUGAAGGAUGACUGCCCUAUGGGUUGUAAACUUCUUUUAUAAAGGAAUAAAACGAGGCACGUGUGCCUUUUUGCAUGUACUUUAUGAAUAAGGAUCGGCUAACUCUGUGCCAGCAGCCGCGGUAAUACGGAGGAUCCGAGCGUUAUCCGGAUUUAUUGGGUUUAAAGGGAGCGUAGAUGGGUGGGUAAGUCAGUUGUGAAAGUUUGCGGAUGAACCGUAAAAUUGCAAUGGAUACGGGCAGUCGUGAGUACAGGUGAGGUAGGCGGAAUUCGUGGUGUAGCGGUGAAAUGCUUAGAUAUCACGAAGAACCCCGAUUGCGAAGGCAGCUUACUAAACUGUGACUGACAUUGAUGCUCGAAAGUGUGGGUAUCAAACAGGAUUAGAUACCCGUGUAGUC